CACACUCACACACAACCACAUGCAAUACACAAACACAUGCGCACACACACACAUACAUACACACACACACACAGUAUUUUGAUUACAGGUUACAGGUUGUACCCCUACUUAGGUUUUUAAGUGCCCUUUUGAACAUUUCCUUGUAAAAAUGACAUAUUAUAGAUGAACAUUAUAGAGGAUAUAUAUGCAGCCAAAGUUACAUUUGAGUGAUACAAACCAUCACUGAACCUCAGGAGGGCUGGGUAAAUUAUUAGAUGGGUGGGUCACAGAGGCGGAGUUAGUAAUGAAGUGGGUGGACCACAAAGGUGGAGUUAGUAAUGAAGUGGGAGGGUCAUAAAGGUGGAGUUAGUAAUGAAGUGGGUGGAUCACAGAGGCAGGGUUAGUAAU